UCACAGAGUUAAAUCACCCGUUGUGAAACUCCCCAUCUUCGGGGACGUACUGGGCAUUCCCACCUGAACUUGAGCAUAUAUAAACUUCAGGUUUUGAGACUUCUGGUACCACUUGUCAGAUUGAGAGGAGGACCAAAACUUCAACAGGACUGUGACCAUUAUUUCAACAGGACUGUGAAUAGCAUCCAGACCAACAGUUCCCAGCAUUUCCACUGCAAGUCAUGGGUCCUGUGCCAGAAAGUGAUCCAAGAACUCCUAAGGAGGCCAUCCAAGAACUAGCUGUUUUCUGAGCCUACAGUCCAGGGGCAGGAAACAAAGGACAUGACCAGUUUUCAAAGUGGAAGAAAAUUACUGUAUUUCCAGAUGUCUCAAGAAAGGGAGGUGAAUGUAUG